UCAGCAUUAUUCUUGUGCACCCUACAAAACGAACCCAAAGGGUGUUUGUAAUGGGCAGUUGCUUGUUGCUGUGUGUAAGGAUGGCAACAACCAGAUGCUGCCACUAGCUUGGGCAGUGGUAGAAGUUGAGAACAAUUUUACUUGGACCUGGUUUAUGAGGCUGUUGAGGGAUGAUCUUGAACUUGGAGAUGGGACAAAUUUCACAUUUAUAACAGACAUGUUGAAGGGACUGACUCAAGCAAUGAAUAAUGUGCUGCCAAACUAUGAACAUAAGAUGUGUGCCAGACACAUCCUAGUCAAUUGAUCCAAGAAUUUGAGAGGCAUUAAAAGAAUAAAUUGUUUCUGGAGAUGUGCCAGAAGUACUUAUUAGGCAGAGUUGAAAAAGAAUCUUGACUUCAUGAAAAGAUUAGGUGGUAAAAGAAUUAUUGAUGACUUGUUAUAGUAUAACAAAGAAAAGUGGUCUAAGGUAUACUUCCAGUUCUUUAGCAA